rnacentral:precursor_RNA from 1 species
UCAGAAGAGGCUACUACUAGCUAUCUAGCUUCAUGUUUAACUCUUCUUGGUUUGUGUUUUUGUGUGCUUGUUGGAGUUGUUAGGAAGAAGAGAGGGGUGAGAGGUGAGGCUGACAGAAGAGAGUGAGCACACAUGGUGACUUUCUUGCAUGCUGAAUGGACUCAUGCUUGAAGCUAUGUGUGCUCACUUCUCUCUCUGUCAGCCAUUUGAUCUCUCUUUCUCUCUUUCUCCCUCAUGUGUUAUACUGUUCUCUCAUAUCUAUCUUCUUUGAGGUAGUAAUAUACUUGAGCAAAUUAAGCUGCUUAAUUAUUUGUGUAUGAUGAUCAGCUGCUGAUCCGGCCUCAUUUCUUGCAUAUAUGAGAUCAGUUUCAACCACAACCACAUACAUGCUUGUUCAUUUUUUUUCACAAAGAAAGAGAACAGUUUAAUUUAAUUUCUUGGGGUUUUUGGAUCAGUUAAUUUGUCUUGAGAGGGGAAGAGAUCUCUAUGGGUUUUGGAGGUCUGACAGAAGAGAGUGAGCACACACGGUGCUUUCUUAGCAUGCAAGAGCCAUGCUGGGAGCUGUGCGUGCUCACUCUCUAUCUGUCAGCCGUUCACCAUGCCCAAUAUGAUUAAUCUCCUUCUCUCAGUUGACAGUAAUUUCUUUGCCAGAUCUCCUGUUAAAUUUUCUGCCUAGCUAGCUAUUAUGCACAUGCUUAUUAUGAUGAGCCUGCCAAUAUCAUCUCCACGGCAAAACACAAACUAGCUAUGAUUUGAUUCAUUAUAUUUCUUUUCGCUGUUUAAUUAAUUAUAUGCAG